UCAGACACCCACAGCCAAUCAGAAUGCAUACCUGAGAAGGAAUGUUCAUAUGCAUGUGUACAUCUUUGUACUCUGAAAGUAAAAGCACAGUUGUCAGCAGGUGCUUGUUGCAGUCCGGAAAUUUUGACCAGUCUACCUGAAGCUUUGGUAGUACAAAUGAAAGGCCAUCAUUAAACUUUGGGUGGUAUUUUCAGAAGCUGUCGAUGUUGGCUCAACUCUGCUUUCAUUUAAUUCAACUUCCAUGACUUUGCUCCACUGAAGUAGGUUUGCUGUGUUGUUAUAGCCGCAGGGUCUAGGAAGGUGAGGGGUUUUUUGUGAUGUAUUUUACAGGACUAGGGGAGAGGUUGGACAACCUUUCAAGCCCAAAGUGCCCUCCUUUAGGUCUGGAAAAGAAGUAGUCACAGACUAAGAUAAAUACCAGAAAAAAAACAAUGGCUUGUGUUUAAUUACAUGUAAAAGAAGAGAGUCACUUAGAAGAAUGUAAGAUGGUUGUGAAACAGGAGUAAAGUGAGAAGAUCAGAGUGAUAAAGAUCCUUUUCCCUUUUGAAUGGUCUUGUUCUUCUACAAAAAUAGUUUCUAUUCCACUGCAGCUCACUUGUUUUGAAGCUGCUUCUAAUUGCCUCUCUUUGCUCUUGCUUCACAGGCAUCCUCCAGUGAAGGCACCUCAACCCUUCCAGCUGCUCAGCCCUUUGAAAUCAACCUACAGAAGCCUCUGCCAGGGCUGGAGAGGAAGAUGAGGGGCGAGAAGAUGUCCACAGCCAGCAGCUAUGAAGACCCACAUGCAGCACUUCAGAAUCGUUUUUGCUUUUCCUUGGCAGAAGCAGAAACUACUAUUGUAUUUUCUUGCUUAUAAUGCACACCCCCACUUCCAGGCCAUGAAUGUUGGAAAAGAGAUUAAGUGAGUAACACUAGAUGGAGCCUUCCUUGUCUUAGAAGCAUAUGAGACUGCUGCUUUGAAUUUGUGGAGUGAAUAUUUCUUUCAUUAAAAGAACUGUGGAGUUUUUUUUAACAUGGUUAAAAACACGGUUGUUUCUGAUGUAAAGGAUGUUAUCUAAUGAGAAAAAUAUAAUGAUAUAACCACGUCUUCCAUAAACAAUUACAUAAGGGAAAAAUUACAUUGCAUGAUUUCCUUGUACAUGAGAACAAUCUACAAUUCUAAAUGCAAAGACCUGAAAAGGUUAUUACUCUGUUGGAGUUAGAUACAGCAAAAUAUUAUUAAAAAUACUCCUUGAGAUGCUCAUCUGCAUGUUCCAGACUUGUUUGGUUUUGUGUAACUGAAAUGCAAUUUUAGAAAGAGAAUGAAUUUGUUUGUAAGCCUUUAUAUAAGACAGUCAUUUUACUAGCUGCAUUGAAAGCCUUCCAGCUUAUUCAAAACAGAGCCCCAAAGUGGUUAUACUUUAGAAAAUAUGCUAUGGUUUUAAAUCCUCUUGAAAACUGUGUUGCAUAUAUAGGUAGAUGGAAUUGUUUCUGCAUCACAAAUAUUUGUGGGUUAGCUCUGAAUCUCGGAGCAAUGAAAAGGAAAUAUAAUGUUGUAGCAGUAGUUGUAGCAUUUGCAAAUACACGUCUUAGAAAAAUCUAUUCAGCAUAUGCUAAUUAAUCUGGCAUUUAUUUUGAUCAACUGAUUAUUAUUCUGUUAUGUCUCAUUUGGUGAUUCUGAAGUAUAAAGACAACACGGGUCUUUCCGGAUUGUACGAUGCCAUGUUCUUAGUAUAGAAAACCAAUCUCUAAAAUAUUAUAGUUAAGAAUUGGACUUGCUUCAACAUUCUUUGAACAUAGACAGCUUCUAUUCAAGAGCACUAGAUUACAACUUAAUUAUGAAAUGAACCAUUUCUCCUUAAUUAUUUUUAAUGAAUUCUAAAUUACAUAUAAACAAUGGAUGCAUACUGCAGAUAUAUAGAAUGAUGAGAGGAUCCUAGCAAAAAGCAAAUAUAAAAUAAAUCUCAGGCAAAUUACAUAAAUUUUGUCUAAGAAACCUCUCUCUUGAUUAGCAUUCUUGACACACACUGCCUGAGAGAUACAUGAACAAUGUUAUUCAAAAUAGGAAGUCUCUGAACCAAGUGGAUUGUAAACAAAUGACAAACCUUCCUAUGAAAUUUUGUGACAAACUAGAGCCUUGACUCUUCAAAGAUUUAUGCAUGUGCUUAAUUUCAUGCCCUAUCAAUUGUCCCAGUGAUUUUCAGUGCCUGAACUUAAUUCCUUGUGUAACUCUAAGCAAUUGUUGUAGGGUUGGGGUCUAAUUGAAUAAUACUUAUUUUUCCUGUUUCUCCAUUAUAAACAAAAGCAACCUAUAUAAUAUUUUACAAAAUCUAGAUUAAAAGAAUA